rnacentral:rRNA from 1 species
UACGAAGGGGGGCUAGCGUUGCUCGGAAUCACUGGGCGUAAAGCGCACGUAGGCGGAUUGUUAAGUCAGGGGGUGAAAUCCCCGGGCUCAACCCGGGAACUGCGUCCGAUACUGGAAGGCUUGAAUCCGGGAGAGGGGAUGCGGAAUUCCAGGUGUAGCGGUGAAAUGCGUAGAUAUCUGGAGGAACACCGGUGGCGAAGGCGGCAUCCUGGACCGGCAUUGACGCUGAGGCGCGAAAGCCAGGGGAGCAAACGGG